UUUUCCCUCUAAAGACUCUGAAGUACUUAAAAUACAUAUGGUGGUAUAUAAUUACUAACCACCUAUGAAAUGCCUACUCUUUUCAUUGAAAAUGUAAUUUCAGUGUGAUUUUUUUAUGGUUUUCUUAUAAACCACUCUUAGUUUUGACUGUAUACUUAGGCACUGGGUGCAGGAGGCAAUCUUGAUUUCAUAUUACAUUUUCUCAGGAGGAGAAUGUACAUCUUUCUGCUUAUUUGUUGUUUUCUGGUGGGACUUUGACAAACAGGCCCAGAAGAAACAAAAGUAAACCUAUUUCGUAAGAAUAGAUUGCUUUAUGUUAUGCAAAUUUUCUCUAUAGUAUAUUUUGUGAAAUGUUGACAUUUUAAAAAAUGUUUACUACUAUGUAUUUUGAAAUUACUGUUUGGAUCCAAAUUAAACUUGGGUUAAACAGAUUUAUACACUACAGCAUUUUUUGAGGUCUCAAUUUUUAAAUCUGCAUCAUGCCUGAAAUAUCUUAUCCACUGAUUAAGAAGUAAAAUUGGCUCUUCAACUGUACUCUGGACACUUUAAAAUAGCAAAUUUAGUUAAAUUUUCAGUUUUAGUUUUUCUUUUUCUUCUUUGUCCUCCUGUUUCCCAUUCAUACCCCCUUCUACUUUUUUUUUUUAAAUUAGACUAUUUCAUAUAAAUGAUGAAAAAGAACUAGGGAAUUACCUGUUUUAUUUUCCUAAAUAGAUAAUUUAUAUGUAUAUUAGUAAUUUUGAGUGCUCAAAAAUUGCUUUAAGUAUUAAAUGUUAGACUGUUCAGUUUUGCAUAAGCAUUUCAUAAAAUUGUUUAGAAUUGGGUAGGUUUGCUUCUUGUUUGUUUUAGACUGAUAAUCUGAAGUUCAUAGGGGACAGGUUGUUAUCACAAACAGAUGUGACUUAGGACAUAAUUUUGAAUUUAUAAAAUGUUGCAACAUUAACACUAUUCUUAAAAAAAAAAAAAAUGGUUGGGCAUAGGUAAAAAGUUGGAUCUUAGAAAAUUGCUCCUGUAAU